ACAUGCUUGAAGAAGCCAAGUAUAUAUAUAGAUAGGAGAGGUCAUCUUUUUAAAUCAAGAAGUUGUAGAGAAAGAAAGAAAAAUAUAGAAGAAGAAGAAAGAGGAUAGGCCAAUUCGGCCAAGAAGGAGGAGAAAGAGAAGACCAAAAAUCUUGCCCCAAAAAUUUAUUUCUCAUAGUAUUUCUACUAAUUCAAAGAUGCUCUCCAACAUGGUAUAAUUGUUGAAGCAAGAGAAUUAUUCUUUGGUGCAAAACUCCAACCUUAGCUAAGUUGAGAAGUUGUGAAGGAAAGAUUUUGGUGAAUUUGGAGCUUGAGUUUGGAGAAGCAAAAGGAGCGGAAAAGGUACUCCCAGAUGAUUAGAAGACCUUACUAAAGAUGUUCCAGCGGAGAUGGCGAACUCCACUUGUCCCGGAGAAUUGCCAAGUCCAAGUAUAUGCUAUGAUGUUCUGUUCUAUGUUAGAGACUUUGCAGACAAAGCAAUGGGUAUUGGGUUGUCAGUCUGUAAGCGGCUCCAGUAGCCGAUAUGCUAUUAUGUUUUAUGUCACGAGUCUUACAUGAUGUAAGAGCUUACUUAUGAAAAGAAAAAAAAAUAUUGGAGAGCUUACUAUGUAUUUCUUUCUUUACUGAUUCAAGGGUUUCUAUACGUAACAAGAGUCAGCGGGUUCGCCCGGCUCCAGUUAUGGGGUCGGGUGCCCAUCACACCCUAGUAAAGUCGGGGUGUGACAUUAGUAAUAUUUUUUAGUAAAGAGACUUUAAUGAAUGAUAAUUUUAACAAAACAAUUCAAACAUUAACCUUGGUUUGUAGUCAUCGCUGACUUUUUACCAUGAUGUGUAGGCUUUGUGCCUGAUGACGAUCCUGUUUAUUCAAUAAACGAAACUUUUUAGCUUAAGUAAU